UUACGUCCACAUCACGUUCAAGCCACCAGUUCCCAUACGUUCAUGAAAGUUAAGCAAUGUCGAACCUGUUAAAUAGUUAGACGGGUGACCGCUUGAGAAUACCAGGUGCUGUAA